rnacentral:rRNA from 1 species
UACGUAGGGUGCAAGCGUUAAUCGGAAUUACUGGGCGUAAAGCGCACGUAGGCGGCUUUGUAAGUUAGAGGUGAAAGCCCGGGGCUCAACUCCGGAAUUGCCUUUAAGACUGCAUCGCUAGAAUUGUGGAGAGGUAAGUGGAAUUCCGAGUGUAGAGGUGAAAUUCGUAGAUAUUCGGAAGAACACCAGUGGCGAAGGCGACUUACUGGACACAUAUUGACGCUGAGGUGCGAAAGCGUGGGGAGCGAACAGG